rnacentral:rRNA from 1 species
UACGAAGGGGGCUAGCGUUGCUCGGAAUUACUGGGCGUAAAGAGCUCGUAGGUGGUUUGUCGCGUUGUUCGUGAAAACUCACAGCUUAACUGUGGGCGUGCGGGCGAUACGGGCAGACUGGAGUACUGCAGGGGAGACUGGAAUUCCUGGUGUAGCGGUGGAAUGCGCAGAUAUCAGGAGGAACACCGGUGGCGAAGGCGGGUCUCUGGGCAGUAACUGACGCUGAGGAGCGAAAGUGUGGGGAGCGAACAGG